UCGCAUCUCGAAAACUCGAACAGUGAGUGAGACCGAGAGAGGGAGCGGGCGGGAGCUAUAAGGGUAAUUUACUCGAUAACGGAGAAGCAUAAGGAGUUCCAAAGCGACCUACUCUUUCUCCAAGAAGGCAUCUGUCGACGCCUUUCUUUCCCUCGUUCGCCAUUGGAACCCGGGCUCGGUGAAACCCUAGGUCGUUGGUCGGCGAUCUCGCUCUGGAGACGCUUCAGUUAGCGUGGCAGGGGAAUCGAAUCUUGAUUUCUUGAUUCUUGCGUUUGUGGAUAACUGUCGGUUACUUCCUGUACGUGAUCUUCUAGGUUUUUAUGGUUUUUUCUUUUGCUGUUUUAGUUGCUCGUUUUCGAAGAUUUAUUGGAGUUUUCUCUCCGAUUUGUCUCUCUCUUCUUCGAGGUUUCUGUGGUCGGCUGGGUUUGAUUUGUUGUAUCAUGUCUUUCUUUCGGAGAAUCAGAUCGUUCUCAGUGGUGAUUCAUGUUUGGUUGCGUUUUUAAUCUUUCGUCAUUGCGAUUUAUGCUUGUUGGUUGCAUUCUUGUUCUUUUGUCGGUGCGGUUCAUGUUCGGUUUCUUUGUUUUUGAAUAACGGUGAGGGACUCUUGAUUUCUUGAUUCGUAUCGUGGUUGCUAGUCAGUUGCUUCUUUAUUUUUAUGUCGGGGUUGAUUGUGAUAUUAGAACAUCUUUUGCUGUUUUUGUUGCCUGUUUCGGAAGAUUUUUUUGAAGGUUUCCCAAAAUUCGCUUUUGUUUGUCUAGAUUUCCAUGGUUGGUUCUCAUUAGAGUCUUUGAUAAGUGUCCAGUUUCAUUCUUUUUGGACAAUGGCUAGAGGCUCUUGAUUUCUUGAUCUGUAGCGUUCUGGGUACUUUUUUCAGUUGCUUCUUGAGGUCCUUUCAAUGGAGAUGAUUUUGAUUCUUCCUGAAGAUUUGAAUUUUCCCAAGAUCUAUAUAUGUUCUUCUAGUUUUCUCUGCUUUUUUCCUUUUGGUGUCUUCCUUUUGGGAAAUAAAAUCUUUCUUCCGUGUAGCUCAUGCUCGUUUGCUUUCUUUUCUGACUUGGUGAGAUACUUGAAACGGCAAAAGGAAAUAGAAUACAUGGAGGGAGGUGGCGCAGGAAAAGAUUUGGAUAGGAUGCAAGAAACAAAUGGAAGUGGGGGAAAUGGCUCCGUAAAGGUCAUUCCUCCUUGCUGCUUAAAGGCAAGGGCUUCGGUGCCAGAGUCUGAGGCUAAAUGUCAUGCUACUGUGGUAUCAGGGUGGUUCACAGAAUCUCGGUCAUGCUCGGGUAAAGCUGGCAAGGUCUUGUUCUACAAUAAUCCUAUGUGGCCAGGAGAAACUCAUUCCUUGGAAGUGGAGAAGAUUCUAUACCAGGGGAGGUCAGAGUACCAAGAAAUAUUGGUUUUUGAGGUUUUUCUUAAUCUUGUUUGUAGACAUUUAACUAUCUUGAAUAUUUUGAGCUCUCUUUUAUGCUGCUUUCCUAUGCAGUCUAAGACAUAUGGAAAAGUGCUUGUGCUUGAUGGCAUUGUCCAGCUGACGGAUAAAGAUGAAUGUGCUUACCAGGAGAUGAUUGCCCACCUUCCUCUGUGUUCAAUUCCAUCCCCCAAACAUGUUUUAGUCGUUGGAGGUGGUGAUGGUGGUGUGCUUCGAGAAGUUUCUAGACAUAGUUCUGUGGAGGUCAUAGAUAUUUGUGAAAUAGAUAAGCUGGUGAUAGAUGUUUGUAAAGAAUUCUUCCCACAUCUAUCUGUUGGGUUUGAGGAUCCUCGAGUUCGACUUCAUGUUGGUGAUGCUGUUGAGUAUAUGCAAAAUGUUCCUGAAGGGAUGUAUGAUGCCAUCAUUGUUGAUUCCUCUGAUCCAAUAGGGCCAGCUCAGGAACUUGUGGAAAGGCCAUUUUUUGACACAAUUGCAAGGGCAUUAAAGCCUGGUGGUGUUCUUUGUAAUCAAGCAGAAAGCAUGUGGCUGCAUACCCAUCUUAUUCAGGAUAUGCUUUCUAUUUGUCUUGAAACAUUUAAGGGUUCUGUCCGAUAUGCCUGGACAAGUGUACCCACAUAUCCUAGCAAUCGUCUUCGCUCCUUGUAGCCAGUGGCUGAUCCAGGAUAUGAUUGGUGCAAUUGGGUUUUUAUUAUGCGCAAAGGAUGGCCCGCCAGUUAACUUCAUGAACCCUAUAAAUCCAAUUGAGAAGCAGGAACGAGCAAUCAAGGUUGGGAGAGAGGUCAAAUUCUAUAACUCAGAGAUGCACAAAGCUGCAUUCAUCUUGCCAUCAUUUGCAAAGAGAGAGAUAAAUGCUGUUUAUGCUUCUUCAACAAUGGUGCAAUUGAAACAGGCUGAUGACAUGUUGAAGACAAAUGCAGCAGCAGAAAACGCAGACCUCACUUCCUAGGACCUGGUAAAAUGGGUCAAGUGUAUUGUAUGUGUAGCGAUUGAGUUGGGAGAGUAGAAAAUGCCAAGUAGGGGACUUCAUAAUACAAUUGGAGACGUAUAUUGCCAUUGAUAAAUGAACUUAUGAUGUAUCUUGUGACUAGGCCAAUGUGAAUGAAAAAAAUAAAUUUGACAUUUUUCAACAAAUUA